UACGGAGGAUCCAAGCGUUAUCCGGAAUCAUUGGGCUUAAAGGGUCCGUAGGCGGGUUAAUAAGUCAGUGGUGAAAGUCUGCAGCUUAACCGUAGAACUGACAUUGAUACUGUUAACCUUGAGUAAUUAUGAAGUGGUUAGAAUAUGUAGUGUAGCGGGGAAAUGCAUAGAUAUUACAUAGAAUACCGAUGGCGAAGGCAGAUCACUAAUAAUUUACUGACGCUGAGGGACGAAAGCGUAGGUAGCGAACAGG
rnacentral:misc_RNA from 1 species